UCAAGAACCCUGAAUUUUAUUAGGGGAGAGAACAUGGACACCAAUAAGCAAAUUUAAAAAAUAAAUAAAUAUAAAGUAAUUGAAAAUUAAUUUCUGUGGAUAGCAGAAGGGAAGAAUUUACAACUUGCAUGUGAGAGAGAGAGAUUGAGAAAGGUUUCAUAUAGGAGAUGGCACUUGAACUGAGCUUUUAAUGGAGCUGAAGAUUCCAUAGAGGUGAUGAGGGAAAUCACUACUGGCAUGGGAAACUGCCAAUAUAAGGACACAGAGGAAAUGUAGCACUCAAGUGUUCUUAUGAGGUUGUGACCUGGUACAAUGAUGAUCAGAACAUCUAGCACAUGGGAGGAACAAAGCCAAAAGGAGAAUUUCCCAGAACCUGAGACAUGCAUAGAACCCACACAGGAUUUCUAAACUGUCUGGACUUUGGGAAAUUGUCUGGCAGCCGUAUAAAUGAAGAAUUGGAGGAUAGAGAGCCUGGAGACAGAGAAGAAAUCAAAGAUAACACUUUCUAUGAUGAAUUUUGGGGGCAGAAGUGAAAUUCACCAGAUUAUUACCAUCUGCCCCCUAGAAUUACUGAAGAGGAGGCCUGGUUAGAAAACCACAGAGGACUGAAUGGCGAGAAUCUCUUAUCAAGUCAUGCCUGCCCAUCCUGUGUAACUUUCACGCAUGUCUUCCCACAAAUUCACCUCGGUGAGGUUUGAACAAUAUCCUGGGGGCCUUCUUCAAGUACUAUUAACAAUACUUGCACCAGUGGAGCGAACAAGUAUCCAUUAUUAACCAUUAUUAUGUGGCUACUUAUUUAUAUAUUGUUUUCCUCAUCAAAAUAAAUUAUCACGAAAUGAAGGAUCCUUUCUUUGGAUUGCCAGUGUUUAAUGCCAUGUCUGGCACAUAAAAUGCAUUUUUAAAAAAUUUUCAUUGAGUGACUGGGAAAAUUUUGUUGUUAUUGUCUAUUACUUUAAUGUCAUCAUUCAUUCCACUUCUCCUGUGUAAUUGCUUUUCGUUUUUUGUUU